AUCCUUUUUCAGUUUAUAAGUAUUAUGAUUGGGUGUUCACGUUUGUGUGACAUGUGCCUCUCUUAAAUCUUGUUAUGCACUUGGCACAUUAUCCAUCUGAUG